GUACGGGGGGGCAAGCGUUGUUCGGAAUUACUGGGCGUAAAGGGCUCGUAGGCGGCCAACUAAGUCCGACGUGAAAUCCCAAGGCUUAACCUUGGAACUGCGUCGGAUACUGGAUGGCUUGAAUUCGGGAGAGGGAUGCAGAAUUCCAGGUGUAGCGGUGAAAUGCAUAGAUAUCUGGAGGAAUACCGGUGGCGAAGGCGGCAUCCUGGACCGACAUUGACGCUGAUGAGCGAAAGCUAGGGGAGCAAACGGG
rnacentral:rRNA from 1 species